GGAUGUUCAUACAUGCCUGGUUCCAAACCCGAAGGUUUUUAAUCUUGCUCAACAAUAAUAUAUAUGUAAUUCAACAUAUAUGUAUACGGGUAAUUGACAAAGGUAUAUCAACAUGUGAAUAAAUGCCAUGAUUAUCCAAGUGGGGACACUUGUAUAACCAUUUAGAAAUCAACUUAACAGAAUAUAUAUCUGAGCUAACAUGUUGAUAAUCAAAGCGUACAUAAUCUGUACAGGAAUAGAAUAAUUCUGAAACUUCUUACUCAUGUCCAUUGCAUAAAGAAAAUGCAAAGGUAGGAUACUUGCCUGAUUUG
rnacentral:lncRNA from 1 species